rnacentral:rRNA from 1 species
AAACUUCUGCUAAUACCCCAUAUGAGUUUGGUUGAAAUACCAAUCUUGAAAGUUCCGGCGCCCUAAGAUGAGCCUGUGCCUGAUUAGCUAGUUGGUGGUGUAAUGGACUACCAAGGCGACGAUCAGUAGCUGGUUUGAGAGGAUGAUCAGCCACAAUGGGACUGAGACACGGCCCAUACUCCUACGGGAGGCAGCAGUAGGGAAUUUUGCGCAAUGGGCGAAAGCCUGACGCAGCAACACCGCGUGAAUGUUAAGCCCUUCGGGGUGUAAAGUUCUGUCAAUAGGGAUUAAUUUUGACUGUACCUAUAAAGGAAGCACCGGCUAACUCCGUGCCAGCAGCCGCGGUAAUACGGGGGGUGCAAGCGUUGUCCGGAAUCAUUGGGCGUAAAGCGUUCGUAGGCGGCAAGGUAAGCCUGAUGUUAAAGCCCGGGGCUCAACUCCGGUUCGGCAUUGGAUACUAUCUAGCUAGAAUGUGGUAGAGGUAAAGGGAAUUCCUGGUGUAGCGGUGAAAUGCGUAGAUAUCAGGAGGAACAUCGGUGGCGAAAGCGCUUUACUGGACCAUUAUUGACGCUGAGGAACGAAAGCCAGGGGAGCAAAUGGGAUUAGAUACCCCAGUAGUCCUGGCCGUAAACGAUGGAUACUAGGUGUUGCGGGUAU